rnacentral:rRNA from 1 species
UACGGGGGGGGCAAGCGUUGUCCGGAUUUAUUGGGCGUAAAGAGCGUGUAGGCGGCCAGGUAGGUCAGCUGUGAAAACUCGAGGCUCAACCUCGAGACGUCGGUUGAAACCAUCUGGCUAGAGUCCGGAAGAGGAGAGUGGAAUUCCUGGUGUAGCGGUGAAAUGCGCAGAUAUCAGGAGGAACACCGGUGGCGAAGGCGGUUCUCUGGGCCUGUACUGACGCUGAGGAACGAAAGCGUGGGGAGCGAACAGG